AUGCACGCUAGCUACAGGCUUCACACCUGCAAGUCGAGGGGAAACGGCAUUAAGUGCUUGCACUUUUUGGACGUCGACCGGCGCACGGGUGAGUAACGCGUAUCCAACCUUCCCAUGACUAAGGGAUAACCUGCCGAAAGGCAGACUAAUACCUUAUGGUCUUCACUGACGGCAUCAGAUGUGAAGUAAAGAUUUAUCGGUUAUGGAUGGGGAUGCGUCUGAUUAGCUUGUUGGCGGGGUAACGGCCCACCAAGGCAACGAUCAGUAGGGGUUCUGAGAGGAAGGUCCCCCACAUUGGAACUGAGACACGGUCCAAACUCCUACGGGAGGCAGCAGUGAGGAAUAUUGGUCAAUGGGCGAGAGCCUGAACCAGCCAAGUAGCGUGCAGGAUGACGGCCCUAUGGGUUGUAAACUGCUUUUGUAUGGGGAUAAAGUCAAUCACGUGUGAUUGUUUGCAGGUACCAUACGAAUAAGGACCGGCUAAUUCCGUG
rnacentral:rRNA from 1 species